rnacentral:rRNA from 1 species
UUUGUCUUUUAAUAAAAGGCUGGAAUGAACGAGUCAACAAUACUAAAACUUUUUAAAUCUAAUUCAAAAACUUGAUAUCUACGUCAAAAAGCGUAGCUUCCUAGAAAGACGAUAAGACCCUAUGAAACUUACAUCACUCACUCAAAAAACAUUUAGAAUUAAAUUUUAAACAAAGUGAUUUAGCUGGGGCGGCAACUAAUAUUCACUCGUAAAUAAAACAUACAUUAAUGAAAAGCAAGAUCUUUACAAAGAAAUAGAAAAAGUUACUUUAGGGAUAACAGCGUAAUUUUUUACAAUUAUCUUUAUUAUAAAAAGACUUACGACCUCGAUGUUGAAUUGAGGAGCCAAUCUCAGAAAUGAGAUAUGGAGGUCUGUUCGACCUUUAAUCCCUC